CGUCAAAAUUUCGUCUCCGUCUCCAUUUUUCUUCGUGCUCGGUUCGGAAGGUGAAAAAUUUGCGCUGUAAUUUCUCGAUUUUGUCGCGCAUAAAUUGCCGUAUUUUCAUCGGAUCGUAGUGUCGAAGUGAAGUUAGUGCUGUGAUAAACAAAAUUUGCUAGUUAAAAGGAAAAAUCCGGUGGUGUUAGGACGUGAAAAAAGCAAAAGAAUAUUCGGCCUUGUUGGGGCCUCGUUCAUUAGCACCUAGCAGCAAGCAGCUCAGCGGAGUAGAAAAAUCCAAUAAUGGGUCGCAAAAAGAAGAAGGCGUCGAAGCCGUGGUGCUGGUACUGCAAUCGUGAGUUCGACGAUGAAAAGAUUCUGGUGCAGCAUCAGAAGGCGAAACAUUUCAAGUGUCACAUCUGCCACAAGAAGCUUUACACCGGGCCGGGACUGUCCAUCCACUGUAUGCAGGUGCACAAGGAAUCGAUCGACAAAGUGCCAAACUCGUUGCCGAAUCGGUCCAACAUCGAGAUAGAAAUCUACGGAAUGGAGGGUAUCCCGCCGGAGGACAUUCGGGAGCACGAGAAGCAGAAGAACGGAGGCGGUGGCGGCGGCAAUCGGUCCGACUCGGAGGAGGACGAACCGGCACACAAGAAACCGAAACCGGAAGCACCGGUUUCGCAGGGUAUGGUCAUGCCAAAUAUGAUGGCACCGCAUCUACAGCCGUACGGAAUGAAUCCGAUGAUGGCAACGAUGGGUCACAUGCCCUACAUGGUGCCCCCGGGAAUGCAGAUGAUGCCACCGAUGAUGGGUGGCCACCCGAGGCCACUGUUCCCGGCAGCCGCCUCAUCCACUACAAUCUCCGCCAAUCCCGCUCUCAACAAGGCAACAUUCCCUGCCUACAGUAGUGCGACGAUCAGUGCCCCGCCUACGACCAAUUCGGCCAACGCGGCAAGCGCAGCAGCUACGGGCGAUGCGGCCAAAUCUUCGACUGUGAUACCCGCCACCGGAACGACUUCCAAAAUAGUGCACCCGCCCGAGGACCUCAGCCUGGAGGAGAUUCGCGCCCGAAAGCCCCAGUACCACAAAAAGAUAAGUAUGGCCACGCAGCAGCUUCUGCAGCAGAAACAGCAGGAGAAACAUGCGGCAGCGGCCGUAGCGGCGGCCACAGCAGCCGCCCAGCAGCAGCAACAGCAGGUCCAAGCCCAUCUCAAAGCGCUCUCUUCGGCGGCCGCGGCCAGUGGGACCAACACCAUCGUGACGAGUCACCCUGGCAAAGACAGCCGGCUUCUGUCGCCCCAUGAGCAAGCAGCCGUGAUAGCGCACGCCCAGGCUGCAGCGGCCAACCAUCAAAAGCAUAUUGACGACCUAAAUCGAGCCGCCAUGAUCCAACGGUUACAGGCAGCGAAUGCAGCGGCCGCUUCGGCUGCCGCAGCUCGACCCGGAAUGCCAAUCGGAAUGGUACCGAUGUCGUUGAACGGUCCCAUGCAGCUGGUGAAUCCAAUGAUGCGACAGGGGCUGGCAAUAGGUCAUCCUGGGGCGGCCUUGAUUGGCGGAAAUAUGCUCCGCCCUGGCCCUCCGCAGAUGGGGCUUGGUCCAGGAAUUAUUUGAGUAAAUGUUCCCCAUUUUCCACACCUCUAUAACCGAUGAUAAAGAUUGUCACCACUUCCAUAUCCGUAACGCACACACUGAAAAAAAAAGUAAUUACUAAACUUGAUACAAAACAUCAAAAAACAAAUGCAAGAGAUCAUCCCACUUCUACCGCAAACUAUGUACACGUGCAACCGAACCAACCGAGAAAAGUAUACGUGAAAUUCACAAUUCGUCACUCCAUUUGCCGCCACAACCGCCAUGUGGCCUCAUCACGCAGAUUCCAGGAGUGCCAGGCAUGGGCAUGGUGUUUCCGGGGCCGCCGAUGUUGCCGAUGCUGCCGCCCCGUUUCCGGUGAUCAGUUCAGGCACCAGUGGUGCUGCAGACUGCCGCCGGGCCUCUGCUGAACCUUGGCCUGCCGAUUGUGUUCCCUUGAAGAGUCAGGAGACCGGAGGAGCAAGGGAACCAAGCAAGGGCUGUGUGUGGUGGUAGCAACAAACCACUCCCCUAAACGGAUGGACGCCGGCUUCGGCAGGAUCUUCAGCGAUCUUCUCCAUAGCAAGCAAGUGGCAAUUUUUCUUCUAUAUAAUGUUUUGUAUAAUCCUAAUCACCUCUAGUGGGUAGUGACUAAGAUAGUAAGGCCUUACACAGUUCUUUUAUUCAAAGCGUGGGUUGUUACGAGUUUCGGAAGAUUCUCCUUUUGCUCUUUCCUUUCUGCAGUUCAGGUAGAGAUUAUCGUGUAACCGUGUAUUACGAUAUCAAGAUAUUAGUGGAUUAUAGUAAUUUAGACGUUAUAGGAUACUCCUUACGUAUAAUCAAUACAGCUUGAAGCUGAUAGAUUGUUGGAAGUGCCAUUCGCGCUACCAAUCGCUGUAAUCGAUGUCAGAAAGGGUAUCAUUAAUAUGAACUCAUAAACUAAUUCAAUACCCUAGUUGAGCAUUUUGGCUUCAUCUGGAAGAGUAUUGCGGAUCUGACAGGAUUCUAAAGCUUCUAAAGCUUAAAGCUUAGCUUGUUAUAAUCAGUACACAUUUGCAAAUGUAAACGAAAGUACUGUUCCUUUUAGUUUCACUAAAAAUUUGCAUCCUUUGACAGAUAAGUAUCUUGACCCACACUGUAAGGUCGUUUUCAGAGUAUCGUAAUUUGACUCGACAUUUUCUUUGAAUUUAUGUCAAAAUGUACCCCAAAAAGUCACCAAUAUAUCGAUUCUAGUAUGUAAAGAGCAUUGUACUGAUUCUGACUAGCGUUAACUUUAGAAACAAAAUAUUGUUCACGGUCAACAAAUUUUACAUCAGAUCAGAUCAUGCGACAACAUAGUACUCUUGUCCAGUGAAAGCUCAUCAAGCAAAACUCAUCUUUUUUUUUCCUUUCUGACAAACAACAACACCCAGUAGCACUGUUAUACCAAUGAUAUAAAUAGCACGCCCCAAGUCGCAAUAAUCCUUAAUAGUAGUGUACGUAUGUGUGUAUAUUCGACAGGUUCACUCCCACGCGCAUAUCGCUGAGAUAUCUAAACCCAACAAAACUGAGCCCGCGAACAGAUAAGCAAUGCUUUCGACUACUAUUUUCCAACUAGCGCCUACAUGGUUAAUAAGAAACACUGCUAAAACAUGAUGGCCUUCCUCUGCGUAAGUCACAAAAAAGGGGUAUGUCAUUUUUAUUAUUUGUUUCUAUACACUUAGUAUAUACCAAACUUAAUCAACAUCAAGAAAUAAUACCAUAAAACUAUAUGGGAUAUAUAAGGAAGGAAUCGAUGUCAAGAUUACUAGGUUGUGUGCGGGAGCAUUAAGGAUCAAAUUUUAAGCACAGUCACAGUUUUGAAACAGGAAUUUUCAUGACAAAUAUGUUAGCUUUCAGAAACAAAACAAAAAUAGGUAAAACUUUGCUCAACGGAACAGAAUUAGAAACACACAUUUGAUAUUUGAUCUUCAUACUUUUAACUUGUUUUCUAUCAAAAUCCAGUAUCUAGUAAUCGUUCAAAUACAAUAGAUAACAGUCCUUGUGCAUUGUUCAGGGAAGCAUGCAUUAGAAAAACGAUCAAUUUUCACAACAGAUCAUAGGAUUUUUCCCAGUUAAAAAAUCAAUACUAACCAGUUUUGCAUAGACAUAAGUCACUUUUCGUUUCUCAAAAUAGAAUUCUGCGUCUUUCCAAAUACCCAAACAAAUAACCAACAUAUUUACUCUGUAUGUUUCGUUCGAACAGAAUUUGCGUUAUCCUCUUAGAAUUUCCGAGUAGCGCGAAAGAGACCCCCCUCUGCUUUGCGGCAACGUGAGAGUGAAACAGAUAUUCGAAAACGAAAAAAAAAGUAGGUACACACACGACUGUAAAAGACUCACUCGGCGCGCGCAAGGUAAGGGGUUCACCAUUUUAUCAAUCUAUACUAUAUUACGCCUAAUCAGAGAUUACCCAGGGUCUACACACCUUUGUCAUAAGUUAAGGCGCCCCAUUUCAAAUAAUACCACUCAGGUUUACAAGUGGUUCGGUACGUGGACUGGGAGGGACACACAUCUACACGACGUGAAACUUUUUGCGUCUGUCUGCGAUGGCACCCCUCGUCGGAGAGGCUGGCAACUCUGACGGGAAUCGUUCGGGAGAUAUGGCAGCACUGCUGUCAAUUGAGCAGUGGUGCCAAUUGCAAAAGCUUGGAAAAAGUUUAUGAAUUUCUGGGAAUAAUAAGAGUUGCCGGUUUGCACGACACGUUGCUUUCGCUUCAAUUUCUUCUAAUUUUGCCCGUUGAAAAAGAUCUAGUUGAGAUCCUCAAGUGUAAUACAGAGCUGUUUUUUUUUCAUUUUCUGUUGGUUGGUUAAGGCGCUUUCAUUGUGCGUGUGUGUGUUUUUUGAAAAUUAUACUUUUUCUCUUGGAUCAUACACCAUCCGUAAGGAACGUAUUUCUCAUUAGUUGUUCGUAUUACACCAUGAUUUGUAACGAAUUUUUGUUUUAUUCGUUUAGUUUUAUUUUUCAAUUUCAUAUGCUAUGCUGUGUUCGAACAUUAUAGACAUUGUUGGAAGAAUGUGAAUCUUUCCUACACAGGCAAAAUUGCAUAUAUCGAUAGAGAAAGUGGCUUUUUCCUUAAAGAUGUAGUGUGUUUAGUCUCGAUAAAAUGAUAUGUUAGGGUUAUGGUCCAACUAGCAGGUUGUGGGAUCCGUUUUCAUUUGCAAGUAGACGGUUGCUUUCAUCAUUUUUAAUUUCCUUUCCAUUGAACACAUAGAGUUGACACCAUUGAAAGCGUAGGUUAGAAACAUCACUAUCCUGUCUGUUUAUUAUUAUUUUUCAAAUUUUACUAACCUAUCACUCUCUCCGAACGCGUAAGUACACAUCUACUUUUAUUUUUUUCCCCACACACAUAUAUUAUUUACUUUUAUUAUUUUCCAAUCUUCUGUCAUAAACCUUCCGAACAUCACUACAGGCAAGUAAUCACUAAAUUAUUAUGGAAUGCAAAUAAUCGUAAUAAAAAGCGAAUGUUAUCGGGUUCAGAGUGGUUGGACAUUGAUAUCAGCGAUUUAACAGUGUAUUAUAAGGUCUACUUGGCAGGAAAUCAUAGUUACUGACAUCUGUCGUUGAUUCGCCAGAUUUUCAACAUGGUUCAGAUGAUUCGUUAUGCGAAUUUUAGCGGAUUUCUCUCAACGUACGGUUUCUGGUGACAUCCCUACAUUAUUGACGGAACUUCAAAACAGUGUGUGAAAGACAAAUCAGUACAAAACUUCGUGUCUCUAGUACACAACUAUUAACACAAAUAUCUUUCCCAUAAUCAGGGAUGCCAUAUAUACAGAUUUAUCUGUAACAAACAGAUUUUUGCGCAUCCGUGCUUAUGUAAAACGAAAUAUGAAAUACAGAUUUUUGAGCUGGAGGAGCUAUUUUGUUGUUGUAUGGGAUACUGAUUUUUUUUUUAAAUAUCUGGCGUCCCUGCCCCUAAUACUGAAUUCUGAAUGUUCCAUGUGGUUCCUUGUAUAAGUUGAAGAUUUUCCCAGAUGAAUAUGUGAAAAACAAGUAAAAUCCCGAAACGUCUGUCAUAUUUUACUCGGGUUCGUGUUGCUCGUAUUUGCCCAGCCGAAUCGUGAAAUUGCUGGUAGCGCUACGCCACCCAGUAUGAUUUUCCUGUCGUGUGUGUUCAGAUGCUACUGAUAGCAGUUCUGAAAGUGAAACGGUUGGUAGCACUACACCAUCCGGUAAAUUGUUGUUAGCACAGUGAUUAGAUUAUAGCUUUUUUUUGGUAAACAUAAGCAAAAACGUGUCAAAACACGUUUUUUAUACUUCUUCACGCAUACGUCGACGGAUUCAAAUGGGAUCAGAGAACAUUCAAAAUCAGCUAGUUUUGGGGACCUUUGACAGUUCUCCUAUGAAAAAUGACAAUUCAGCGUUUGCGCCUUUGUUCGGCAGUUCUAAACAGUGGCAUACAUGAACCUCUAACUAAAAAGGCCUAUUGGAAUGAGUUCAUUUUUGCUGCCGUCAAAGCCAAUGAACUUGUCCACUUGCAUUCGGCGAGAUCCGGUGAACAUCCAGUGAACUUUCGGUCGCUGGAUGUUCAUGAAUGUGUUAGUUUUUGUAAACAGUGCCCGCAUUUGCAGAGAAAUAGAAGAAUCAACUCGGGGAAAAAAGAAGACCGUGGAUUACUCCAUAGGGCUAAUCGCAAGACGUUUAAAAUCAGUGGAUUUUUGGGGCCUUUGACAGUUCUAUCAAAAUGACAGUCCGGUGUUUGCAGUUGUAAACAAUAGCAUACACGAACCUGUCAAAUGAAAAGGCCUAUGGUGAAAUUCGUUCGAAACUGAUUGCAGCAGGCGCAGUAGGCUGUUUCGCGUAACUUGAUUUGAAACUAAUGGUGGCACCCCCCCCCCCCAACCCCCCCCCCCCCCACCCGUAACUUGACAGAUGAGCUCAGUAUCGCGUACCUACUUGCAAAUCGCAGAUGUCGCUACUGUACGUAAACAACGGGUCCAUCCUUCCCUGACGCAACAAUUUUUGUCCUCGCGAAAACAUCUUUUUGUUGCGUGGUGAGUGGAAGCCAAAGAGAGGCUACCGUUUCAUAUCAAAAGGACGUAUUCUACAGAAGCGCAAAAACUAAUGUUCAUUAAAUUCAAAUCAUUUUGAAUUUUCUUUUGGUUGCUGUAAUAAAUGAAAUAAAAGCACAUGUUUAAACGGUCGUGCAUAUUAAUUUGUUACUGUACAUACAAAAUCAAACCGAGGAUAAAACUCGAAAAAAAAUUGCAAAUGAUUAUUUUUAACUUCUUUUUUCGCUUUGCCACCAGAUAUGCAGCUGUAAAAUGUUGGCAUAAGUAGCAAAUUUAUUACUUGCAGGUCCAUAUUAACCGCACCAGAAGAAAACAUGAGUUUCUGAUUAAUUUUAUGAAAGUCGACUAAUUUGACUUGACCCGUUUUUAUUGAUAUAAUUUUCGCUUCUAGUAAACAAAUUCAUCAUGCCGCACUUUAUUUGCAUUUUCCUACGGCAGAAAAACGGAAACAACACAUUAAGGUUCCUCUUCUUCUUCUUGGCGUAACGUCCUCAUUGGGACAAAGCCUGCUUCUCAGCUUAGUGUUCUAUGAGCACUUCCACAGUUAUUAACUGAGAGCUUCCUCUGCCAAUGACCAUUUUGCAUGCGUAUAUCGUGUGGCAGGCACGAAGAUACUCUAUGCCCAAGGAAGUCAAGGAAAUUUCCUUUACGAAAAGAUCCUGGACCGACCGGGAAUCGAACCCGUCACCCUCAGCAUGGUCAUGCUGAAUACCCGUGCGUUUACCGCCUCGGCUAUAUGGGCCCUACAUUAAGGUUCCUGUUUAAUGUAUUAAUAUGUUUUGUGCGGUUUGUUAUUAUUAGAUUUCGUCCUUUUCAAAAGUAGCGCUUGCCGCUUUGAAUCUGACAGUACCACCCGGACCAAAAUUUUUAGGUACGCUGACGUUGUUCGGCAGCUGUCAAGUUGCUCCCGGGUUGGGUGGCACCAAGGUAUUUACAUAUUCAGAAGGUAUUCCCAAAUGUCAAACAAUUUCGGGAAGCCGACAAUCACGAUGAGAUGCUGUAAAUUCCAUGUUGAAGUUAGAACCCAUCCAGAAAUUUUUCCACAAGGGUUUUUUUUUCCAAAUUCCGUCAGAGUUUCUUCUCAGAUUUUUGAGGAGAUGUCUAUUGGAAUGUCCUGGAUUUCUCAUAAGAUUCCUACCGUAUUUUGCAUGACAUUUCCCUAGUGUUCAUUCUUGAAUUCUUCAUUGCAAGAAGAAAAUGUUUGGUAGAUCUCAGAUCACUUUGACAGAUAACGCUUGAGCGAAAAAAGGGCAUGCAGAACUGUCAGAGUGACCUGAGAAUGGUGGAACCGUGUAACCCGAGCAGCAGAAAGUAGCUGAAGAAUAUCGAAUUCAGGUUUGGAAAAUCGAAUACCUACAACCUGAGAAGCCUAUUAAGAAGCCCUGCAUAAGAGGUAAAACACCCAAAAUAAUAACUGGUGUGUAUUCUGUGCAUAACACGUGAAUAAUGACAUCAGGUAUGGCAUUACCUCAAUAAUAAUCGGCUAUUUUUCCAUACAAAUUGCGAUUUUUCCAUAAUUGAAUAAUACCUCAAGCAGUCCUCAACACCAAAUCAAUAACUCGUUGAGGUGUUCUAUCAAUACCUACAAAACACCAAAAUAAGUUAUUUUCAAUAUCUGGGUAACCGACCAAUACCUUGUCUUGGUAAUGAUACCUGACUUUGGUAUGCUGCAGUUAUGUGUCAGUUAUUCGUUCCUGCUCGGGAAUUAAGAAUUCCUCUCGGACGUUCUUUUGGAGUCCUUCUGGCAUUUUUUCCACGAUUCGAUCAAUUCAUGCGCGAAUCUUUCUGAACUCCGACCGAUUUCUUCUGGAGUUCUUAUGGGAAUCCUGAAGAUUUUUUUUCCAGCUCAUGAUAUUGCUGUCUGAAUGCCUCGUGGGAGUUCCUUUUACUUAAAGACAUUUUUGGAUGAUUUCUCCCAGAAUUUAUCCAUGGAUCUCUACAGGAGUCUCUCUAAUGAUGUUGGGAUUCUUUUUUAUUUCCGCAAAAGUUCUGCCGUGGAUUUCUUCCAGUGUAUCUUCAGGAGUUAUUCUUGAAAUUCUUCAUUUCCGAGAACCUUCUUAUACAGAAUCGCCGAGAUUUUUACAGGAGUUUCCCUAGGAUAUUUCUUGAAUGUUUUAGCGGGAUUUCUCAGAGAUGUUUCUGCAUUUAUCCUGAAUAUUUUCCGGGAACUGUCCACAAGUUUCUUCCGAAUUUCCUUUUUGGGAGCUCUGCAGGAUGUUUUGAUGAUAUUUCUCAUGGAGCUGUUCCAGCGAUUUCAUUCGGAGAAUUUUUUUCAAGCUUGUCUUCAUAGUGAUUUCAAGAUUUCUUGCAGUGAACACCACGGAUAUUUUUUUGGAGAUGUUUUCAGAGCUCUUCCCUUAAUUCCAACCGGAAACUGUUGCGAUCCUGGAUGUUCUUUUUAAUACUUCUCUAAUAGCACUAGUUUACAAAAUAAAACGAAAGUUGUGAACUUCUGUCAACGACCAAAAUUUUUGAAGCAUAAUUUAGCGCUGAUUUUGAAACCGUGCUUCAAAAAAAUUAAAGUAGAACAGUUUUUGAGUUUUAGCUCAAUAUCGAGUUUUACAACUUUUUAAAAUAUGAAAUUUAAUAAAAUUAAAAUAUUUUGCGUUUUGUUCAACCAAUUUUAAAUCUUUUUCCAUAAAUUAAAAGCUGAAUAUAAUACCAUUCGAUCAUCUGAAUGCAAGUUUUGCGUCAGACUGAUGAAAUUCAAGAUAUUGGCUAGUUUUGGGGACGAUCUCCUUAAAUUUUAGCAAAUUUUCCAAAAAUAUAUGAAGAAAUGUAUUUUUUUUUAUGAGAAAAAAUCAAUUUUAAAAUUCUUUCUCAACGUUUAUUUGACAUAUCAUAUGUAGACGAGUUACAGUAAAAAAUUCAGAUCAAUCGGAGCAUUGAUUACGGAGAAUGAGAUGUGUGAAAUUAGCGGCUUUGCUUAAAAAUGGAACAAAAAUUGAUUUCAAAUCAUCAACCUGGUAUGGAAAGUUGAAAAAAUUUCCGCUCUACUGUAAUUUUUUUACUUCGCGUUUUCGAACUCAGGGCAUGAUUCUACACCAAAAACGACCAUCAGCUUACCGAGUUCAAAAAUGCUGUAAACUAGUGUAGUUGCUCCCAGAGAUCUUGCAGGAUUUUUACCAGGAGUUUUUCUCGAAAUUUUUUUCUGAUCUAACUUUUUAAAUUAUGUGGAAGAAACUCCCAUAGAAGUAUCGUAAGGUGUAUCCAGAUGCAAUAUUACGAGAAUCUUCGGGAAGACCUAUUGGAAAAAUCUCAAGAGUGACUUCGGAAGAAAUCCUGAGAAGUACUAAGCCAUCUUGAAAACCCUGAGGGUGAUCCCGGGAUGAAAUAUUUGGGAAACUCCGGAAAACAUCUAAUUCCCGGGAAUACUUCUGUCAUGCCAUCUCCGAAAUCUACCAAGCGAAGUUCCUGAAUGAAACUUGGAUUAUUUUUGGACAGAUCUCCAGUGAGAAACUCUGGAAGCAUAUCGGGAAAAUCUCAGGAAGAAAUUCAAGGAAGUACUCAAACGAAACCCCCAUGAAAAACUAAUGCAGUAAUCCUAGGAGGAACUCUAGUAGAAAUCCCAGGAAUGACGCUAAGAAAUCCCGUAAAAUACCCGAAAAAACUCUGAAGAAAACUCUGGAAGUGAAUGUGGAAAAAUCUCUACAUGGAAAAUCUUGGAAGAAAGUCCAUAAAAUAAAAUUCCAAGAAAAAAAGGCUUUGAUAGAUUCAGGGAAGAAAUCUGAGAGAAAUCGUAUGAAAAAUUCUGUCAAAAACUACAAAAAAUUUAUAGAAAGAGACUGUGGUUGAAAUCCAUAGAAGAACCCUACCGAUUUUUUUUUGGAUUCUGAGUGUUUUGUUCGGAAUUUCGGAAAAGAUUUUUUCUAUGCAAGCUCUGACUGAUUUAAGAGAAGGGUUUCUGACGUAAGUCCUAGAACAAUUACUGGUAGAAUUUCGACAAUUUUGAACAUCAUGAUAUCAAUGUCAACCUCCUCCCGCAAUUUGCUUCUAUCCGUAGUGAUAUGUGAAUUCGCAAUACUUAAUCCUCAACCUCUGUAAAAAUUAGUCCAAACCCUUUUGAAAUCAGAAAGCAAACAUUUAAAAAAAUCGAACAAAUCUCACUUCAACUACUUCUUCUUUUACUUUAUUUCUUCCUCUUCAAGAUGUUCUGUGAAAGACAGAGAGAUAGAGAGAGAGAGACACAGAGUUCGCGUACUUAAGACCCCUUUUGAAACCUGACUCUCUUGAUUACGCGAAGCGCAAAAGUGUGUGUGCGUGUCGGACACGUGCUCGAACCGAAACCGAUAAGUACCUCACAUUAUUCUUACUUUUAAUUUCUCUCUUCAUUUUUAUUUAUUAAUACUGUCGAUAGUUCGCGAAACUUACCUGGACAGCACUCAAAUGUUGCACAAAAGUUGAGGAUACUUGUAUGGGAUCGCGUUGGAUCGUAUAGAAGUUACAACAACGUACUGUGCAGAAUUUGUACUGUUCGGUGAAACUAUGUUCAAAGUAUCUUCGGACUCAGAACAUGCGACCAUUGACACUAAACUUAUUACACGUGUACAACCAACCCAGGCAGGUGAUAGUUCGAGACGGGUGUCCGUUAUCACAAACUUGAUGUUGGAUAUUCGCUUAUCCCUUGCACGCGGAUGGAUGUUUGUUGACGGACGUUUCCAGAGUUUGGAAAUUGCAAACCAGCUAACAAAUGCCCAUCCCGCAGGCGACACAGUGACGUAUGGGGGAAGCGUUGAAGCGCUGUCAUGUAGAUUUGACAUCUUUUUUGGAAACAAACAAAUAAUCAAAGUGCUUCAAAGCUUUCCCCGGGGAUUCAUUUGUGUCACAUCAAGUUUGUUGAGUGAGAAGUCCCUUGUCGGUGGUUCGCCAGCGACAGGUGAAAUUUCCCUUUGCUGGAGUUUCACAGCCCGGUCCAGACUUUUAUCAGAUUUUUUUUCUAUAAAUGUGGUGGAGAAGGUUUAAUAUUGGUUAUGUUUUGCGUCAUUGGAGGUUUUCAAUGUAAGCUGUUUUUUUUUCUCACAGUAUAACGAUUACAUAGUAAUAUAUUGAAGGAAUAAUGCGUUUUCCGAGACCAAUGGGCUGUUGGACUUUUCAUCCCCUGCCUGGAAAUAAGGGGCUUCUAGUGCAGUUUUCUCAAACGGUUCGUAAAAUUAGUAAAAAGCAUCGUUUCUUUUUAAGUUUAGUUAACUACAGAUCAAACAUCAGCUACCUUUAGUUUUCCCUUUCGUUCCACUACAUCAACUAAUACCAUUCACCUUUUCCGUGGGCAAGCAAGUUUUCCUUUCUUAUGAUUUGGUAUUCUCCUAAGUAUUGUAUGGCAAGAGAAGUGGGUACUCGGAUUGAUUUCAGUAAUUUGUUUUUCCUGUUUCGUAUACAAGAUAACUCGGUGUGUUGUAUAGUGAGUGACUCAGUCCAAAUAUUGUUAUUGUUAGUCUUAAUUGAAUAUCGAUUUUCUAGAUAAUACCCACAUCAAGCAUUUUUCACCUCACCACAGACAAAGUACGAAUGCCCGAUCCUCUAGUUCGUUCUCAUUUCCCUAUUUCUGCAUCCCCUUUCUCUUCUCCCACUGCAUCGUCCCUUCCGUAGUUAAGUCGUAGAAAACCCCACAAUUUUCAGUUUUCCCUGACUCACCCAACACUAAUUUCCCCAUUUUUCACGCUAGUUUCCCUGCAUCAUUCAUCUAUCAUUUCGGUAAUGGGGUUUUGUAUUCUUUAGUUUAUUCAAUAGGCGUUCGUACAUGCGUUUCUUUAUGCAACUUAAUAGCGUUGUAAUUACUAAGCAACAUAGCAACAAAAAAAUACAGAAUAUUAAACAUUUAACACAAAAUCACAAUCACACUCUGGUAGACGGUGUAUGUUCAACUACUCUUUGUAUAACGUUGUUGCGUGAACCGUAAAAGCAAAAGAAUAACCGGGCGUCAACACUUGACUUCCAUCUAACAACAACAACAACUGCGUUGUGGUUUACUGGUAUACCGAGUGCAAAAAAGAAGAAAAGUCGACUAAAAGCAAUUAUCAACGUGUUUGUUUCGGUUUCCUUUGGAAAAUUUGGAACUUUUCAUACUAAACGUAAAACGAGAAAAAAAACUAAUCGGAUCGGACAGUCAUUAUUUGUGUAGAAGAAAAGAGUGCUGCUUUCGCGGUAGUAAACCUUGAAGUGAAAUAAACAAGAGUACAGUGAAAUGUGGUGUUAAUGUAAGAAA